rnacentral:lncRNA from 1 species
CUCCAUUCCCGCAUUCCUUUCUUCCCAAAAACCUCUCAACCCAUAUCUUUCCAGUUUCGCUCUCCCAAAUCGGUGGAUUCUUCCCCAAUCGGCCAAAGAUCAUACACUGCAUCUGCUAUUUACAGAAUAUUGGCAUUGACCGUCGAUGUGUCUCGAUAGUUGGCCGUCCAUGUUCUAAUCAACAAGAGAUUGGUGCCAGAUUUGUGAAAGAGCAUCUUUUUUUUUUGACUGUCGGUGUGGCAAUCUUAUUCGGAUUUAUAAUUCUAGAACAGCAAAGUGAUAUGGUUUGUUAAUUCAUUUGCUUUCAACGGCUGUGAGUCAUCUUCUAUCUGUUUACCCUCCAAUACAGUGGAAGAUAUGUCAAUUUCAAAAUGUUCCAGAAUAUCAAGUCUUUAGAUUUAAUGUUCAUCUAGGAGUUUAGUAUUUUUAAUUGAUAUUGAGAUUGUAAAACAUAUUGAAAUCCAUGUGCUGCAACUGUUUUAGCAAAACAAAAAUUGGUUUGUUUAAUCAUAUUUUUGGCUCUUGAACGGAUGGCACAUAUAUUACAUUUAUUUCAUGACAUUUGGUAUCAUUUGAAUUUGAUAUGAAGCCUAUCUUGAAAUUGAAGAUGAGAUAGUAGCACUAGUACACGAACUGUAAUGAAGUUGAGUCUCUAUCUUUUAAAAUAUACUUGGCAGACUAUAUCAAUACAAUGGUUCAAUUAAUGCUUUUGCUGGGUUGAUUCUGAUGGAUUUUAUAACGAAAGUUAGCAUCUUCUGGAGCAAAUUUGUUGGGAGAUCCCUGGUAAAGGAGGUAGGUCCAAUAAAACUGUGCCAUUAAAUCUU